rnacentral:misc_RNA from 1 species
GUGUAUAUUUUUUUUAGACACACAAAUGUCCAAAAUAAUAACAUUCUAAUACUGGAGUAUGAAUUUAAAACAUAGAUCUGAAAAGUACAAAGAAAAGCUGGUAUUUCUUCUACACAGCAAUUCUUCUGACCAAGUUGUUAUACUUGAAAAGUAUUCAGAUCUACACAAUGUGCACAGGUGGGUUUAUAAAGUCGGAAUAAGCGUGCACAUUCUCCAAAAGAGAUAGCAACAGCUUAAACCAAGUUUAUUCAAUAAUGAUCCUUCCGCAGGUUCACCUACGGAAA